AGAUUGAACGCUGGCGGCAGGCCUAACACAUGCAAGUCGAGCGGCAGCACGGGUACUUGUACCUGGUGGCGAGCGGCGGACGGGUGAGUAAUGCCUAGGAAUCUGCCUGAUAGUGGGGGAUAACGCUCGGAAACGGACGCUAAUACCGCAUACGUCCUACGGGAGAAAGCAGGGGACCUUCGGGCCUUGCGCUAUCAGAUGAGCCUAGGUCGGAUUAGCUAGUUGGUGGGGUAAUGGCUCACCAAGGCGACGAUCCGUAACUGGUCUGAGAGGAUGAUCAGUCACUCUGGAACUGAGACACGGUCCAGACUCCUACGGGAGGCAGCAGUGGGGAAUAUUGGACAAUGGGCGAAAGCCUGAUCCAGCCAUGCCGCGUGUGCGAUGAAGGCCUUCGGUGUAAAGCACUUUUGGCUAGGAAGAAACGGCGUUGACUAAUAUCCAGCGUCACUGACGUACCUGCAGAAUAAGCACCGCUAACUACGUACG
rnacentral:rRNA from 1 species